rnacentral:tRNA from 1 species
GGAGAGUUGUCCGAGUGGCUUAAGGAGCUGGUCUCGAAAACCAGUGUACACGCAAGUGUACCUAGGGUUCAAAUCCCUAACUCUCCGCCA